GACGAACGCUGGCGGCGUGCUUAACACAUGCAAGUCGAACGGAAAGGCCCUGCUUUUGUGGGGUGCUCGAGUGGCGAACGGGUGAGUAACACGUGAGUAACCUGCCCUUGACUUUGGGAUAACUUCAGGAAACUGGGGCUAAUACCGGAUAGGAGCUCCUGCUGCAUGGUGGGGGUUGGAAAGUUUCGGCGGUUGGGGAUGGACUCGCGGCUUAUCAGCUUGUUGGUGGGGUAGUGGCUUACCAAGGCUUUGACGGGUAGCCGGCCUGAGAGGGUGACCGGGCAGCAUGGGACAUAGAGAGGGACCAGACCCCGACGGGAGGAAGGCAGGGGGAAUAUUGCACAAUGGGCGGAAGCCUGAUGCAGCAACGCCGCGUGCGGGAUGACGGCCUUCGGGUUGUAAACCGCUUUCGCCUGUGACGAAGCGUGAGUGACGGUAAUGGGUAAAGAAGCACCGGCUAACUACGUG
rnacentral:rRNA from 1 species